AGAGCCAAGACCGGUUGGAACCAGAAGGUUGAUGAUGUUGACUCCCUAUUACCUCACCACCGACCAAUCAAAAGAAUGUCCAUUAGCUGAUCACGCACCCUGCAACCCUCUCCCUCUCCCUGUCUUUAAAAACCUUUCCCUGAAAGCCUUCGGGGGGGCGGGGGGUCGGGCUUUUUGAGCACUUGCUACUUGCACUGCUUGCUUGGUGCCCUGCGAUAAACACUGCCCUUUCCUUCACCACAACCUGGUGUCAGUAGAUUGACUUUACUGCAUGCGCGGCGAGCUGACUCAGGUUUUGGUUCAGUUACACCUUCUCCCUCAUAUUGAUCACCAUUUCACACUUUCACCUUAAGUCAGACCAAAGUCCUUGAGUACAUAACAAUGCUGCUGUUCCUGAUAAUAAUAACUGAAUAUGCAAUACUGCCAAGCAGAAUGACAGUAGCUGUGCUUUUUUGAGCACUAACUUCACCCCAGACCCUCUCCUAAGACCCUUCAUGAGUUGUCAUCCUUGUUUCAUCUUCCUAAUCACUUUGUGAGGUAAGUACUAUUGUUAUGCCCGUGUUAGAGCUGAGAAAUGGAGGCUUGAAGAAAUCAGUGACCCUGACUGCGGCCACAUGGCUGGUGGGUGGAGCCUGGGUCUGAGCCCGGGCAGUGUGACUCCUGCAGAUGUGCUUGCUCACGGAUGUCAGUAUUUCCUGUGCUUGGAAGGACGCUGACCGCCAGAGUCUGUAGGAAGAGUGCUUCGGGUUGGAAAAUACGACUGGUCUAAACUGAAUGUGUAUGUUUUUGGAGAGACCUUCUGUCUAAUCUGAUUCCCCAUCGCUUCUUCCUUGAACUCCUCUGAGCCUUUAAUUUAAGGCUUCAGUUGCUGCUGGGGCACUAAAUCAAGUGCAUCAUUCUACCGGCAAGGUACGGUGAGGGGGGAAAAUAUUCUCCUCUGGAGAGUAAAAACCCAUCUCCCUACGAUUCCCACUUACCCGUUCCUCUUACUUAAACCACCACCAACAAGAAGAAAGAUCUUUGAAAAGAGAGAAAGGCUGCUCCUCUGGGGGAGCAAGUUUGACCUACCUCAUCAGUCCAAGAUUUUUGAUUUUUGUAAGCUGUGCCUUAUCGAUAUGGUACGCGGGCCUCUCACCAUUGUGGCCUCUCCUGCUGCAGAGCACAGGCUCCGGACGCGCAGGCUCAGCGGCCACGGCUCACAGGCCCAUCACACUCUGGGCUACUUCCUUUAAAUCACGGGCCCAGCCACUCCGCGGCACGUGGGAUCUUCCCAGACCGGGGCACGAACCCGUGUCCCCUGCAUCGGCAGGCGGACUCUCAACCACUGCGCCACCAGGGAAGCCCCUAUCAAUUGAAUUGUAAAUUUUAAUUUCUAUUGCUAUAUUUUUCAGUCCUAGAAUUUCUCUUUAGUUCUUUUUCAA